CCAGGCCCCAUUUUGAAAAGCAAAAAAAAAAAAAAUAGAGAGUUCCUUGGCUCUCUCUCUCUCAUUUCCCCUUUUGUUAGGGUUUAUAUCCAUCAUUGCCGCCGCCAUGGAGCCACCGUAGGUGGUGGUCGGGGUUGCUUGAAUGGGGUCUUUUGACCCCGAUUUUGGGGGCGCCUAAAGGCCCUAUUUUCUUAGCCCGAAAAUCUGAAGGGAAAGACCCCCAUUUUCCUUUUUGAGAGCCGAUUUCAACGACGGAGUAGGGCUCCGAUGUCGCGGCUCCAAAGUUCAGGUGACAGAUGAGUGUCAAGCGCAUGGAGGGCCAGUGGUUGGUGCCCCGAACAGUGGUGGUGGUGCGCGUGAUGGCCCAGGGCAGAGGGGGCAUGCGGCUGAACUUUGGUGGCUGCAUCUUGGGGAGGGGUUUGCUGCUGAAAAACCUCAAGCAAGUGGACUGUUAUUUGGGCUAGGGUUUGAUGUAAAUUGGGCUGUUUAAUAUUGUAAAUGGGCUAUUUAUUUUGGACUCUUUUUUAUUGUUUUGGAUUUGUUAUUUUUUAUUUGUCUGGGCCAAAAAUUGGCCAUUACAACCAUUAAUUGUAAAAAUAUUUAAUAAUUAAUCCUGACCAAUUCAACAACUUCGCUUUAUGAUUUAAAAA